rnacentral:rRNA from 1 species
CCGUCGGUGUGGGUAACCACUGGCCCGGCGUGUUUGGGAUGGGAAAAGGUGGCGGGGGUUUAGUUGCGUCGGAGGAGGAGGAGAGGAGGGAGAGAAGGGGGCGGCGAUACCAGAGAGGUCUCCGUGUGGGGAGGUACCUAGCUUCGUCGUUUGGUCCUAGACCUACUCCUUCUCCUCUAGGCCCGCGGGGUAACCACCUAGCUGAUAGUGCUCGAGGAGGGCGGUACCUCCUCGUCGCUCCGGCCUCUAGGUCCGCCGCGUACGGAGUGCCCCACCCCCUCUCCGGACGUUGUCCCCGCUCCCCGUAGGUCCAGCUUCGACGUCGCGAGGUCAGCUACCCUAACGAGACAUGCCUUCCCCUCAACGGCUGCCGACUUCUACGAUGAGUUUCCUACUCGAGGCUCGCCGUACGUUCCGAUCGACUGACGUCAAACUAAUGGCUAAGUAGAUACCGUCGUGUCCGUCCGCAUAAUAGAACCUCCAACGAAGAAUAAAAAUGGCACCUAGUUCAAAGAAGUAAAGGAAACAUCGAUGGAGACGAGGUAAACAAAAUAUAUAGUACAUACGAAAUAUAUAGGAUACACGACGGUACUAGGAACGAAGUGACUAGUACAACUAAAAGAUCUAAACCGACCCACGGCACAAGAAAAAACCGGGAACAGGCGAAACUAGUUACACGAGACCCUAGACCGAGACACUGACACUACUACGUGGGCGUCCCUCCUCCGUUGUAGCUGCGCUACCGUGUCGUCUCCUCUGACCCGAACAACACCUUGAAGACCUCCGUCAUCCUGUACUACGGCGUGUAGUGUCUCUAGUUCUACCGGUACGCGUACGGCUACGGCGGGCGGCUGUAGCCGCUCUCGCAGUGGUGGCCGUUGCCGAGAUCACUGGAAAGGUCCUAGAAGAGGUACUCGAUGACCUUCCUGUGGUUGAGGUCGUAGUACAAGAAGUGCGGACCGGCGUUCUUCCGGUUCAACAAGCCGCUGUCGCUACUGCCGUACCAGUGGUCGAAGUCGUUGUAACUGAGGGUCCUUUCUUGUUCGUAGUUGUUCUCCCAUUCCUCCGACGUUCUGGAGUACUGGUUGUACCUGUUCCAGUAACACGCCAUGUCUUUGAAAUGAGACUUAAACAGUGAUGUCCAACGUACGUUAAAGUAUGACAAUCAAAGUCUAAAAGGUUAAAAGAGAUACGUAUAUCAUCUACGAAGAUACUUAGACAUGGGUAGAAACCAAGUAGAAUAAAUUAAGUCAAUUUCAAUAUAACUUUUAAAGGGUCAAGAGAAAAAAUUACAACAUGAAUGAGCCUCAGAAAGAGAGGACGAUCCGAUUAAAUGUCUCAAAAUGACUGGACGUAAGCGAAAUACAGAAAAGAAGCAAGUAAACCGCUUGAUUGAAACAGUAGGUAUCACAUUAAAGGAAAACCCGAGGGGAACGUGGUCCUUCUAUACAGUUCAAGAGACUUAGAACUUCACGGGUACCCGUAGUGUAAAUAAAUUAAUCAAGGUACAUCUCUAAGUUAGUAGAGUCACUUAGCAAAAGAAAAAAGGUUUACUUGACUUAACCCUAUCUAUCCAUAAUGAAAUUAAUAACACUAAAACCAAGUACAAUAAAGCACUUUCCUUGAUACCACCUACGUUUAAAGAACUACCUAAUUGAAAUAUAGAAGACAAAAGUUUGGUUCUAACACCACUUACCCACAACUAUACUCCACGUCCAACUGGUUGCCCACCUGGCCACGGCCGCACUCCUAUCCCGGCCACCUACCUUGUCUUCUGUCACCUGCUAUAACUGUAACCUCUUGCCCGCGUAGAGGUAUCCACCUUCAAAUAAAUGGACCUGCUACAACCCCUAUAAGACACCGGGUUCAAGGGAUGUCUUAUUACGGGUCAGAUUAGAGUUAUCACCCGUACUAUCGGAGUUUGAAGAGAAAAGUUGUAACUUCUUCGUCAAAUGAGCCUAGUCACCCGUACGUGAAUCUUUUUAUCGAUCUCUCAUGCUCCUCUAUAAGGACCUCAUUUAUUUACCGAACAAUACGACUAUGCAAUCUGUCUUCGUUUUACAAUAAAUAGUACGAGGACAACAUAGGUGCCUGUAUACUUAUGGAUGAAAGGGUGGCAACAUGUGUUUGACUAAAAUCAUAAACACGUAUGAGAAACAGAAUUCACCCGAAAGAGAAUUUUCCUUCCUCUUUAGAGUGUUCAAGGUAUCGGCGUCUCACUGAUCCAUCGUAUAUCCGGAAAGUUUAUGGGUACGGAGGUAGUCUC